GAUGAACGCUAGCGGCAGGCCUAACACAUGCAAGUCGAACGGUAACAUGAGUAGCAAUACUUGAUGACGAGUGGCGCACGGGUGCGUAACGCGUAUGCAACUUACCUCUAACUGGAGAAUAGCCUUCCGAAAGGAAGAAUAAUACUCCAUAAUAUUACGAUGUGGCAUCACAUUGUUCUUAAAGCUUCGGCGGUUAGAGAUGGGCAUGCGUCUGAUUAGCUUGUUGGUGAGGUAACGGCUCACCAAGGCAACGAUCAGUAGGGGGCCUGAGAGGGUUAUCCCCCACACUGGUACUGAGACACGGACCAGACUCCUACGGGAGGCAGCAGUGAGGAAUAUUGGACAAUGGGCGAGAGCCUGAUCCAGCCAUGCCGCGUGCAGGAAGACGGCCCUAUGGGUUGUAAACUGCUUUUGUACGGGAAGAAACACCCCCUCGUGAGGGGGCUUGACGGUACCGUAAGAAUAAGGAUCGGCUAACUCCGUGCCAGCA
rnacentral:rRNA from 1 species